rnacentral:sRNA from 1 species
CGGAGGGAUAUUGCUGGAACGCGCCCCAGGCGCACCCAGAAACCCUUUGUGAACUUAUACCUUUUGUUGCCUCGGCGCAUGCUGGUCUCUAGUAGGCCCCUCACCCCGGUGAGGAGACGGCACGCCGGCGGCCAAGUUAACUCUUGUUUUUACACUGAAACUCUGAGAAAAAACACAAAUGAAUCAAAACUUUCAACAACGGAUCUCUUGGUUCUGGCAUCGAUGAAGAACGCAGCGAAAUGCGAUAAGUAAUGUGAAUUGCAGAAUUCAGUGAAUCAUCGAAUCUUUGAACGCACAUUGCGCCCUCUGGUAUUCCGGAGGGCAUGCCUGUUCGAGCGUCAUUUCAACCCUCAAGCAUUGCUUGGUGUUGGGGCACUGCCUGUAAAAGGGCAGGCCCUGAAAUCUAGUGGCGAGCUCGCCAGGACCCCGAGCGCAGUAGUUAAACCCUCGCUUUGGAAGGCCCUGGCGGUGCCCUGCCGUUAAACCCCCAACUUUUGAAAAUUUGACCUCGGAUCAGGUAGGAAUACCCGCUGAACUUAAGCAAUCA